UGGCUGGUGUUCUAACGUAGACCCGUAAUCCGGGUUGCGGACAGUGUCUGGUGGGUAGUUUGACUGGGGCGGUCUCCUCCCAAAGAGUAACGGAGGAGCACGAAGGUUAGCUAAUCCUGGUCGGACAUCAGGAGGUUAGUGCAAUGGCAUAAGCUAGCUUGACUGCGAGAGUGACGGCUCGAGCAGGUGCGAAAGCAGGUCAUAGUGAUCCGGUGGUUCUGAAUGGAAGGGCCAUCGCUCAACGGAUAAAAGGUACUCCGGGGAUAACAGGCUGAUACCGCCCAAGAGUUCAUAUCGACGGCGGUGUUUGGCACCUCGAUGUCGGCUCAUCACAUCCUGGGGCUGAAGUAGGUCCCAAGGGUAUGGCUGUUCGCCAUUUAAAGUGGUACGCGAGCUGGGUUUAGAACGUCGUGAGACAGUUCGGUCCCUAUCUGCCGUGGGCGCUGGAGAAUUGAGGGGGGCUGCUCCUAGUACGAGAGGACCGGAGUGGACGCAUCACUGGUGUUCGGGUUGUCAUGCCAAUGGCAUUGCCCGGUAGCUAAAUGCGGAAAAGAUAAGUGCUGAAAGCAUCUAAGCACGAAACUUGCC
rnacentral:rRNA from 1 species